CGACGACAUAAAUAUGAAAUCUCUUUCAUCACGUUAGUUCCUUUAAAGAAUAACAGGAUAGACUACCAGUUUUCAUUCAAAUACAUCUCUACCUUGUGAAUAAAUUGAGAUAACAUUGUGUGCGUUGUAAGCAAGAAGAACGACUUUCACUUGCUCCAGAAUUGAAAAUUGAUGGACUUCCACUUCAAUAAAUUUAAUCAUUUUAAAUUGCAGUGCAUAUGUAGUUGGAAACAACUUGUAUAUCAAAGAUGAAAGAGAAGAUGACAUUUAUUAUAAAAAUAUUUAGUAACCUC